rnacentral:rRNA from 1 species
UACAGAGGGGGCAAGCGUUGCUCGGAAUUACUGGGCGUAAAGGGCGCGUAGGCGGGAUGGCAAGUCGGUCGUGAAAUCCCUCGGCUCAACUGAGGAACGUCGAUCGAUACUGCCGUUCUUGAGGAUUGCAGAGGAGACUGGAAUUCCCGGUGUAGCGGUGAAAUGUGUAGAGAUCGGGAGGAACACCGGUGGCGAAGGCGGGUCUCUGGGCAAUUCCUGACGCUGAGGCGCGAAAGCGUGGGGAGCAAACGGG